rnacentral:rRNA from 1 species
UACAGAGGUCUCAAGCGUUGUUCGGAUUCAUUGGGCGUAAAGGGUGCGUAGGCGGUAGAGUAAGUCUGGUGUGAAAUCCUGGAGCUUAACUUCAGAAAUGCACUGGAUACUGCUUUGCUAGAGGACUGGAGAGGAGAUUGGAAUUCACGGUGUAGCAGUGAAAUGCGUAGAUAUCGUGAGGAAGACCAGUGGCGUAAGCGAAUCUCUGGACAGUUCCUGACGCUGAGGCACGAAGGCUAGGGGAGCAAACGGG